GUGUCGCUAGAGAUACAUGUGUAGUUAUUCCUACCUCACCACAGGAAGCCCGCUCCUAUUAAUAUGUAGGUAAAACAUAUUGCUGGAAAAAUGGCCAGGUCAUGAAUAAAACAAGUAGGUAGUACUACAGUAUUCAAAAACACGACUACAAAAAAGCCGCAGCAUUUACAAUCAAAGUUAAAGAUGAUUUAUAAAGGUAUAUAUUUAAAUAUGUCUCAUCAUGAUGUCGAGGCUAGCUCAAUCCAAGAUGGCGGCGCCCAUGGCAGAGUCUUUACAUUGUCUUAAUGGCUAAAGAACUCGAGAAUUUUGACAUCCCGCUGAAUAGGAGGAAAAGAGCUAGUAUUCUUUUGGAAAUGCAUCAUCUGCCAAGUCGAUCGUAGAGAUGAGAAGCUAAGAAACGUAAAGAAGGCAUCCGUUGAAACAUUUAAAAAUGCUGUAAGAAUAAGGAGAGACGAGGUUUACGAGCGACU